AUUGAACGCUGGCGGCAGGCCUAACACAUGCAAGUCGAACGAGUCGCGGACGUGUGAGUAAUGUCUGGGAAACUGCCCGAUGGAGGGGGAUAACUACUGGAAACGGUAGUUAAAACCGCAUACCUUCACAUGUGCCUAUAUGGGCUUAGCUUGUUGGUGGGGUAACGGCUAACCAAGGCGACGAUCCCUAGCUGGUCGGAGAGGAUGACCAGCCAAACUGGAACUGAGACACGGUCCAGACUCCUACGGGAGGCAGCAGUGGGGAAUAUUGCCCAAUGGGGGCAAGCCUGAUGCAGCCAUGCCGCGUGUAUGAAGAAGGCCUUCGGGUUGUAAAGUACUUUCAGCGGGGAGGCGUUACCCACAGAAGAAGCACCGGCUAACUCCGUGCCAGCAGCCGCGGUAAUAC
rnacentral:rRNA from 1 species